UUCUGGCUCAGGAUGAACGCUAGCUACAGGCUUAACACAUGCAAGGUCGAGGGGCAGCAUGAUCAAGCUUGCUUGAUGAUGGCGACCGGCGCACGGGUGAGUAACGCGUAUCCAACCUUCCCUAUAGUAGAGAAUAGCCCGGUGAAAAUCGGAUUAAUGCUCUAUGUUAUUCAAUGCGGACAUCUAAGUUGAAUCAAAGGUUUACCGCUAUAGGAUGGGGAUGCGUCUGAUUAGGUUGUUGGCGGGGUAACGGCCCACCAAGCCCACGAUCAGUAGGGGUUCUGAGAGGAAGGUCCCCCACAUUGGAACUGAGACACGGUCCAAACUCCUACGGGAGGCAGCAGUGAGGAAUAUUGGUCAAUGGACGGAAGUCUGAACCAGCCAAGUAGCGUGCCAGGAUGACGGCCCUAUGGGUUGUAAACUGCUUUUAUGCGGGGAUAAAGUGCACCACGUGUGGUGUUUUGUAGGUACCGCAUGAAUAAGGACCGGCUAAUUCCGUGCCAGCCGCCGC
rnacentral:rRNA from 1 species